CAAAAUUGUCUAGGAAAGGCAGAGUCUUCAAGUGUGGAGUUUGUCAUGCUGAAGGGCACAACAGGAGGGGCUGCCCCAAAACAAAUUAUGUUGCCACAUCAUCUGCCAUUGGUGCAAGUGGUCAGACAACACAGCAAGGUAAGAAUAAAAAGGCCAAAGGAAAAGAAAAGGUAGCUGCUACUUCACAAGCAAGGAGGAAUUCUGAUGCUAGUUAUUUCACUGUUUUAAGAGGUGCUUAUACUGGAGAAUUAAU